CUCAUUCUCUGUCUCAUUGCCAGCCUCAGCCACAUCCUCGUCUCGCCGUGUGCCGUUCACGCCCCGCUCAGAUGAGUUGCUUGGACCUGUUCCAUUCUCCACAACGUGCUUGAUAGGUAUUUUAAUUGCUACUUCUGAUUCACCAUUGGUGUAAGUCCUGCUGUUGAUCAGUCUUUGUCUCUCAUUGAUUAGCAUACGGCUGGCCAUGGAGAGACGUGUU
rnacentral:lncRNA from 1 species